rnacentral:rRNA from 1 species
GACAGAGGUGCCAAGCGUUAGGCGGAAUCACUGGGCUUAAAGCGUGUGUAGGCGGAUUUGUAAGUACCUUGUGAAAUCCCACGGCUCAACCGUGGAACUGCUCGGUAUACUGCGAAUCUUGAGCCACUUAGGGGCUACCGGAACAAAUGGUGGAGCGGUGAAAUGCGUAGAUAUCAUUUGGAACGCCAAUGGUGAAAACAGGUAGCUGGGAGUGUGCUGACGCUGAGACACGAAAGCCAGGGGAGCGAACGGG